GUAGGGAUGGUGUAACGGUAGCAUUUCGAUCUCCAAAAUCGACGAUCUGAGUUCAAAUCUCAGUCCCUGCG
rnacentral:tRNA from 1 species